UACGAAGGGUGCUAGCGUUGUUCGGAAUUACUGGGCGUAAAGGGUGCGUAGGUUGUUUGGCAAGUUAGUGGUGAAAGCCCAGAGCUUAACUCUGGAAUUGCCAUUAAAACUGCCAGGCUAGAGAGUGUUAGAGGUGAGUGGAAUUUCUAGUGUAGGAGUGAAAUCCGUAGAUAUUAGGAAGAACACCAGUGGCGAAGGCGGCUCACUGGCCCGGUACUGACGCUGAGGCGCGAAAGCGUGGGGAGCAAACAGG
rnacentral:rRNA from 1 species